GAUGAACGCUGGCGGCGUGCCUAAUACAUGCAAGUCGAGCGAACGGACGAGAAGCUUGCUUCUCUGAUGUUAGCGGCGGACGGGUGAGUAACACGUGGAUAACCUACCUAUAAGACUGGGAUAACUUCGGGAAACCGGAGCUAAUACCGGAUGAUAUUUUGAACCGCAUGGUUCAAAAGUGAAAGACGUUCUUGCUGUCACUUAUAGAUGGAUCCGCGCUGCAUUAGCUAGUUUGUAAGGUAACGGCUUACCAAGGCAACGAUGCAUAACCGACCUGAGAGGAUGAUCAGGCACACUGGAACUGAGACACGGUCCAGACUCCUACGGGAGGCAGCAGUGGGGAAUAUUGGACAAUGGGCGAAAGCCUGAUCCAGCCAUGCCGCGUGUGUGAAGAAGGUCUUCGGAUUGUAAAACUCUGUUAGUGGGGAAGAACAGCAGUGAAAUAAUAUCUGCCCGUCUUGACGGUACCUAAAGAAAAAGCAACGGCUAACUUCGUG
rnacentral:rRNA from 1 species